UACGUAGGGAGCAAGCGUUGUCCGGAAUCAUUGGGCGUAAAGCGCGCGUAGGUGGCCCGGUAAGUCCGCUCUGAAAGUCACAGGCUCAACCUGUGAAAGCGGGUGGAUACUGCCGGGCUAGAGUCCGGAAGAGGAGAGUGGAAUUCCUGGUGUAGCGGUGAAAUGCGCAGAUAUCAGGAGGAACACCGGUGGCGAAGGCGGGUCUCUGGGCCGAAACUGACGCUGAGACGCGAAAGCGUGGGGAGCAAACAGG
rnacentral:rRNA from 1 species